rnacentral:piRNA from 1 species
UGCAUGACUAAGCCGCUAGUCCAUGC